GUUACUGUGUAUACAGAUACCUUGCCUGUGCUCAGGGUAGAAGUCAAGUAUAAGAGUGAGUGGAGUCUGGCCUUUUUCUUAAGUAUUUCGCUUUUUGUGCUUCUUUCUCUCUAUAAGAUGAUAUGUGUCUAUUUAUUCUUCCCCCUCCGACUUUGUUUUCUGUAAAAACAGCGAAUUCUCGUUCAUACUAUAAGACCCCUCAUCCAUGAGUUCCAUCAGUAUUGAUAAGAAUGGAGAGUUAUGACUCAGAGUUCAUAUUUGUUGGUAUUGAUAUGAUGUUACCAAUUCAUUCAGUAUGGCCAUUGAUAGAGAGCCAAUUCAAAUAAACUAAUGGAACGGAGAGCCAAGCCAAUUCAAAUACACUAAUGGAACGUGGAAUUUGGCCUUUUUGGAUCCAGCAGGAAUCGAACCCUCUAUAUUCUUUUGGACCAAUGUGGAGUUGGUCGCUUUUACCAUUAAGCUAUGGAUCCAAUCACCGCAAGUAAACAUUAGGUUUAGGAUUUGUCACCGCAAGUAAACACUAGGUUUAGGAUUUGAUUGUUGGUGCUUCUCGAGCUUUAUCCGCCAGAGUCAAUCCAGCCCCAAGGGUUGCCUAGCCCCUAAACUAUGGUACUCCUCUCCUUCAUCGAUGUGGAGAUAGAGCCAGAAGUGAGGCUUUGUUCCUUCGCGUAUCCAUUAUCAUUGACAAAGCGACUCUUACAUGCAUGGCUUACUUAAUCAUUCAGUCCUACUGGGGAUGCUAUGGUCACAGCAUUUAUAAGGGAAAAGAUGAUAUAGAGAUGGAUUGGAGAAGAGGAACGAACCACUUGACAAUUCAGAUGUUACAUGUUUUGAAUACAAAGGAAAUAGUAAGGAAGAAGAGAAGAAAAGAGAAAGAAGAUAGAUAAGGUAGGGGCCAAGGAACGGGAUCAGACUUAAUACAGUAAAUCCAAGACUUCAACUAGUGCUACCGAGGAUGGAGCUACUAACAACCAGACUUCACUCACUACCAACAAGAAUCAAACCUAGGGCUGCUAGGACUGAUGCUGUGUAGGUACAGGCUUAAACGAAGGAGUCACAGAAUGGCACUGAUGAGUCUAAGGCUGAAACAAGUACUACUCAGAAUGACCCUAAAGCGGAGGUAGGUACGAGAUACUUUAGGUUACUCGUCCUAGGAACACCAGUAAUAAGAAUUGAGACCUCUCUUGGCAACCACUAUAAUGAAUAGAAGUCAGCAGUAAUAGAAUCCGCAGUGCCCCAGGAAUGGAAGUAUUGAUUGGCAAGAAGUAGAUGAGAAAGCAGCUUGCUUAAUUCUGUAUUAGUUGACAGAAGAAUCAGUUCGGGUUAAGUACCCUGUAGCCUGUAUAGGAGAAGAAUCAACGCGUUAGCCCAAUGUUAAUAGAAAUAACAUAAGAAUACAAAACCCGUCUCUCGAGAUCAGAAUCAGUGUCAAGUGAGUCAGCAGUGCCAAAGUCCGCCAAGUCGAGUUUCAUUCCUGGAGUGUUAGUAACAUACGAAAAAGGGAAGGUGCUUCAAGCAUCUUUACUAACUCAUAGGUUCCUUGUGAGCGAGAACUUACAAUAAGGGCCUUAUCCUUACUAAAUUCAUUAUUGAUCUUUUUAUAGGAGAACGGAUUCCUAGUAUAUGCUUGCCAGGUUGUGCAAAGAAUGUUUCAAUGUUGUUUCCUUACUUCUAUCUAUACUGGGCUAGGUGCUCAAGAGACUCUAUUGAAUUCAUAAACUUUCCCCCACUCCACAGAGUCUGGGCCGGAUCCUGUUUCUUCUUCUCCACUUGAAGAAUGACUUGCUACUCUGCAAAUGGCAAAUGCGCUCGACCAUUAUCGGUAAAGGAAGCAGUAAACAAGAGAAGGAAGGGGCAAUUCGAGUCGCCAACACAAAAGCACCAAUAUCUACUACAUUACCAUCACUAGAAUUCUUUUCAACAAGCAAGGAGUAAGCAGACCAAGCAGGUGCCUACGGAACAAGCAAACUUGCAAGAAAGGGCAAUGAAAGCAAGGCCAAUAUUGAGUUAAGAAAGGGAAGAAGGUUACUGACGCGCCACGGGUAGCACUUUAGCGACACCCCGUUCACUUUAGCGUCAGCGAACAAAGGACAAAGAAAGAUCUUCCGAACACAAAACAAAGAAUUCCACCUUUUAUGAUAACUGCCUCGGAUCCUUCUCUUGGAGACUUAACUCGAACAGAAAUAGACUUAAUGGCGAAAGUGUCCUUGCCAGGCGCAAGUCAGGUUUGCCGGCCUCACUUCUUGUAUAGGUCGGGUGGGAAUUCCACUCCAAAGUUCAUGGCGGCAGCUUCCCUGUCCCUUGUUUCAUCUGUGUUUGUCGUCUUGGCCCAGUUGUGUUCUAGGCCUUGGCCCCGUCUUUUUGAAUAGCAAAUAUAGACUUUAGUAAGGUGCUGAAAGCCUUGAAGUUUCAUCUUCAAUUAUAGAACUGACCGAAUUAAUAGUAAAGGGCUGGCAACUCACUUCCCGAACUUACCCGCCUGUCCUAGGUAUAGCAACAGUCUCAAAUCCUCCUGCCGAUUCUAUUUCUACUUCUUCUACUUCUUCUAGAGUUGACUUUCCCUUCCAAGAUUCUUGUAUACCCGCCUUUAAUGCUUUCUUCUUAGGGGUUUGUCCUCUACUGCCUCUUUUGCAUUCCCAUCCUAUAGUUUCACUCCACCACUCCACAAUCGAACUCUUCUGCAGCUUACUUGCAUCAUGUAAGGAAGUGUGCUCUUAUUCUUCUACUCAUAGGUACCCGACCCAUCGCAUCAUCUAACAAUGAAAAGAGCAACUUGGAAUUCAAUCAAAGCUAACAGGAAAUCGACAACCACCAGAAAGAGUCAAACAAAAAGAAAUAGGACUUUCACUCCCCGGGGGCCAAGUAACGGAUAGACAAGAGCUAAGCAAGAAGGAGGUAGUCAAUAGGCCCAGCUACAACCGAACAGGAUCGGUAUUCCACUCUCACAGGACUAGCUACUCUCAACUACUGGCAAAGAAUCCAACUCGCCAAGCUACUAGACAAGUAACGGGCAGGCAGUUGACCAAAACGAGAUUUAUGCUUACUAUUGUGGUAAAUUCCCUAUUCUUUGUUUUACUCUUGUUAGCGGAAGUAUAAGAUUUGGAUGUCAGUGCGCUAGACUCAAAGCAAUAGCAUUCUUCCCUGUACGAUUAUUAUCAGACUUAGAUGUAUUAUCAGAUUGUGUAGUAGAUGUUUUGAGUCUUGGAAGGGGUAGCUCAAGUCUGUUCUCCUGCUCACAAUGCCUUAGAGCUAUGCCCGAUAUCCUGUAUUGCUAGGUUGAUUCUCUCCGAUCCGGUGCCUACUCUUUGACUUACCUGUUUGAUCCUCUGUUUCCACUUCGAUCCUAUACUUAGUUAGUUCAAAACCAUACUGGCGAGGUUGGUUCCCCGUCUAUAGCAUCAAUACGAUAAGUGGUGGGUUUAUUCUUACUAGUAGUCGUUCAAGUCUAAAAGCAGUGGGCUAAGCCUGUGAUUUACCUAUUUAAUUCAGAGAAGCAGUAGCUCCCAAUUCUUUUAGUUAUUAGUUUCAGAAUCAAAGACAGAGGUAGGGUAGGCUCAUAUACAGGGAUGGCAGACUCCCUUUGUGCGGGUGGGCAGACUGAACAGUGAAAUAAGUAAUUGUAUUUUGGAGUGUGAUUAACAAUAAGAGCACAUAGGAUCCACCAGACAAGACCUAAUCCCGAAACUGGAAGAAUCCAAAAAGCCAAGACAAAGAUAGCCAAGCAGACAAGCAACGUUGUAAAAGUGCUGUGAACUUGUAUAUAAGGGGGUUUUCAUGGCGGUAGUGAGCGGAAGAGUUGGUUCAGAGCCGAGCCCUAGGUUGCUGUUACCGUAAUUCUAUCAUACAUAGUUAAAUGAUUACUUUGCGUUAGCAGGAGCCCAAAAGAAGGAUAGGCAUAACUGCAUUGCUGACUUAUGGCAUAUGAUAUAUAUGAGUAAAGACACCGUUGCCUCCGCUCCGUUACUCGCUUAACUACUCCUAGCGCACAAGUGAAAACUGCUCACGUAAGCGCUUCUCUUACCAGAUCUGAUCCCAUUCUUUCCCGGAGUCGAAUGAGAGACUGGAACGCGGGCGAGCUGAGCUCUCUGGCUCUUUAUAGAUGUGCCUGGCAUGGUUCAAAGUCUACAUAGUGAUCCCUGAAGCUAGAAAUAGGGAAUCCUGAUUGUUUUCUGUGUUCCCGCGUUUAGAAGCUGAUUGGAUCUGAUCCUGUAUCUACUUGAAGGAAGCAUAGGGGCUCUACCUUCCCAAGUAGUAGAGUUGCAAGAGGCUAGAGAGCUAUGAGAUCGAUUUGCUUCUGAUAGAUGAUUCCAAAGAGUAAGGGAGAGUUUAGCAUGCUUGCCUUUCGACUAAAGCACUAGAAGAAAAGGACAUGGGACAAGAAGAAGCCCUCUUCUCUUUUCAAGCCGCCCUCUUCCUUUUGAAAGUUGAUCCCCCUCAGACGUUAUGCUUUCAAGCGAAAGGCUGUCUUGUGGACCUUACCUCCAGCAAUCUUGUCUUUCCCGCUGCAGGUGACCCUCGAGGAGAUAGGACAGCAAGAGAGAAGCUAGCCCUACUUGAGAUUGGUUUACGAACUAUCCCUUCAGGCCUUCUUAACACUGAUCUUACCCUACCGCGACUAGAUCCAAUGGAUUACGUGGUAAAGAGCUCAAAACAAGGGAUUUGGCCGAUCCAUAGUUCCUCACUACCUAUGAAUGAGUCUCUUUGCUAAUUAACUAUCCACUACAUGCAAUUGACUCACCUACAUUUUCUGCUUUCACCCUUGAUUUAGUACACUCAGACUCAGGGAAAGUGCUUACAUAAACUAUCAUUCCUAUGGAGCUAACCGAUGGGUUAGAGCGGAACCGCCAUUCUCCAAAGUGUGGAAGUGAGCCAGGACAAUAAGACAAUAGGUCUAAUGGGCCAAGCCAGCUAUCAGGCAUUGAGUGGGAAUCAAUCCAGAAAGAGAGAGAUAAGGUCGAGUGCAAAGAGAAUAAGGUCUAGUGAAAAGAGAUAAGGUGGUCUAGUGCUCUCAAAACUACGUACUAUUUUCUUUGGAAUGGUAAGGGGAGUCGUUAGAUGCGGAAUACAAACAACAUGGUAAGAUUCAUCCUCUGAGUACCUGCUAAUGGAACCAUUGUCAAAUAUGUGUGCCCUUUGAAUUGUAGUUGCCUUGGAUGUCAAUCUAUAGGCAUGCUUUAAUGUCGAGACUUCCACUCCAUCUCGAAUCCCGCCAAAGUCCCACCACUAGUAGGGAAUGAGGGAUAGAGGCCGAGUACCACUAGAGGAUCAAAGAGAAAAAAGGGAUUCCUUCGAGGCUAGAGAGUGGGGGAUGACGGGAAGCCAACUUAUAAUCUAAGCGAUGCCUGAGCGCGAGGAGCGGCCUUUCAAAGAGGAGUCGUCGGGAAGAGCAAACAACUUCAUCUUCCAACUAUCUGGUGGCGCUUGAGCAUUUGUCUAACCAUGGGGUUAGGAGAUUGUCUCUGAGUUGAGAAUGAAGGACACGACUAGGCUAUAAAAGGAAGUGGCAGAGGUCAUAACCUUUGUGUUUUUUGCCCUUUCUCUUCAACUAGCCAAGGAUCUGCGCUCGUUGUUUUCAGACAAUAUGGUCAACAGGGUCUUUCUUUUGACAUUUAGUGAUUGUAGUUUCAAUCUUCCUUAGUUUGUUUCUUGGAGAUAUUCUUGUAUUUGACAUUUGAUUCAAUGCAUAGAGCCUUCAUUUCAAUGCCUUGUUGGCUUCCCGGGUGCUGGAAUUGGGUUCAUUGGUGGGAGAGAGAAUAUUGCUCGGCUUUCUGAACUAAAUUGACCGAGGAGGACGCAGAGGCAAGUAAGGAGAAUCAGAGGCGGAAUAAUAAUAUCAGUUAGUGCUCUCCGACUCAAGUAGUAGUAGCAGUCUUUUGAUUUGUGUUUGGAUUCCCUGCAGUACCAGUUCAAUCCCAAGUUUCAAGUUCUAUUCUAAUAGUCAGUGUGGUUGAGGAGCGAGCGGGUAGGUAGUCAAUCCUUCUCAGCAGUGGUUUUCUUCUUCUAGUGUUUAGUAUUUCCUUGUGGUAUAUGCGGCUAACGAGUGGAAGUUGUUGCUAGUUAGGAGUUGAUUUCCCUACCCAUUCUUAUACUGGUGUUGAUUCCUCUCCCCUAUGCCUAACAGCCUCUUUUCUAUAUGUAACAGCCUCUUUCUAAUGACUAUGUCUUAAAGAUAUGUGAUUUCAAGUGAGGAUCUUUCUUGCCUCUUUCCUGCCAGUAGUUCUUCCCCUAAUUGUCAUUUCAUUUCCCCUUCUCUUUUAGGAUAGCAUUCCGUAUUGAUUGUCACUUCUUUAGAAAUCCGUCUUCUUCCAUUACUACAUUCCUCCCAAAAGUCAAUUCUAAUCAUAAAAGGCAAGGUGUUUGGGAAGUGUAUCAAGCUCUAUCCUGCUGUCUUUAUAUGGAUUUCUCUAUCAUCAAUCAUUACGGAGAAAGAGAGUUGGAUCUCGAGAUUCCAAUCUCGUGGUGCCCUCUUGAAUGAACCAACCUGUACUCUUUAGUUUCCGCUAAUGAAGCUGCAUCAAAUUGAGUGGGCAGAAGAUCAGCUAGCUGUCUCAUACUCGGACUAUAGAUCUUUUAUGUGCUGGGUUGACGGCAAAGACAUCCAAAUCUAUAGGAUGAAGCUGACACGCGAGCAAGCUAAUAUGAAGAAGAUAAGAUCUUGCCAUGCCAUCUUCUGUGAUUAAAGUAAAGCCCUAUUCUACCCAUGUGUAGGGCGGAGCAAGGACGGACAGAGGCCUAAGGGUUCGUUUUUCAUAACUUAGUUAUAACUAUGGUCGAAAAGCAGGUAUGAUGUCUCCCACUCGACACCAAUAUGUGACAGAAAAGAAGCACGAAAGCCAGUCCGUCGCCAAGUCUUUAAGCUUCUGGUAUUGAUAUUGAUUUUGAAUAGAAUAGACAGAUUCUUGCCCUAAGGUUAGGCUUCAUGCCCGAAAAAGGAAAGGAAGGGUAUUUUCGGAGCGUACCAAAGGUCAGUCCCAACGCUAAUUCACUACAAUAGAAAAUCGAACUAAGAGAUAGGUUAGUUAUACGACCGAUAGGGAGAGGAACGAAGGACUUCUGAGUUUAGGAUAGAAGAAGAACAAGAGAAAGAAAGGUGCAGAGUGAAGGUACGGCAAAAGAUAGAAAAACGAAACAGUAUUGUAUUAUUGAGCACAGGAAAGAAUUAGAAGACUUCGAUUCGGUGGAAACCAAAACGGUUGAGUCAGUGCUGUGCUUUGCCCUUUAGCAAAUGCUUCUCCAAAUCACUAUAGGACCAGACGUCCGAGCUAUUCAAAGAAUGGACUUUUCAGUAAUGGAAUAAGGUUAACAAGGGAUUUCUCUUUCUCCAGAGAGUCAACCUUAGCUCAAGCAAGGAAGACAUUGGAUGUAGAUUAAUGCCUGUUACUGAAUGAUCCCCAGGGAGUGACUUCCUCAUUAGCCAGAAUAGCCAAUCCAUCCUUAUUUGCUUAGUUAUAGAACUCCUCCCGCUCUUCAAGGAUCGAGGUUCCCAGCUGGUUAUAAGAUUAUAAGCCGAUUGUCAUUCGACAACUCCCCCUUUUCAGUCGAAACAACCCCUCUCCCUAUCGGUCUUCACUCCUAUAGGUUUCCUCCUCUCCUUCCUUUAGUAUAGUAUUGUAAUAGCGGACUUUCCCGUUGGUCUUCCUUCGGUCGCCUCCUAUCUCGAACUUUCAAUCUUACGCUUCAAUCUGACGUUGGUAGAGCCAGUCUGUUGUAUAGCAUUUACUAGCUAGCCUUCCUCUGCGGAAGAGAAGAGAACAAUCCACCGAUUCGAUUACCUUUUGCCGAGCUACAACUCAUUCCUAUCCGUUAGGAGAGCUAGCACUCGCACUUCCUUGAGUAAUGUACGUACUUAUUUAUUGUCGAGCGAGGAUAGGUCUGUGAGAAUAGAGUUCGUUUUAGCCUUGUUAGAUUAGUCCAGUGACCGAAAGGAAAUGCCCGGACCCUGUGAACUCUUACUGUUCGUUAUCUAGUCGAAACUAGGGCAAGACAAGAGAUCGUAUUCGCUAAAUCUGUUAUGAUAUUAGGAAUAUAACCCCAGCAUUCGAGAAUCAUCCUCUGUAUCUGGCGCACAAUCUAAAGCUUUGUCUCAUCCCUCUUCGCGAGCAUACAAUAAGCAAAGAAAAGUGGAUUUGUUUGGAUCUGAUCUAUACUAAUGUUACUACUAAAUUCUGUAUUGAUCCUUAUAUAGGAUGACAGAUAACGGAUUCAACAAAAGAAUAGAUUGAGUCAGCUACCCCAGAGAAAGUCAAGGAAUGGAAUAUGAAAUGCACUGAAGCGCGGGAGUAACUGAAGGCGUUGUUAAGUGAGUUGAAGUUAACGAGUUAUUACUCUAUCUGCUGACUAACCUUUGACUGCUGACUAUAAUGCUCCUUACUCUAAUCAAACAAGGUGGUUUCAUUGAAUACGAGUUCCAGUUCUUUACCGAACAAGCCUUAUUGCCUUUACUUCUUCCGCGCGGUAUCUGAUAGUUGUAGUCUCUUUUGGUGCUUGUGCUUGAGAAGACCAGAAUCUCCGUUCUUUGAACAGCAUUGCUUACUUGACUCCCGACUCUGAGGCUUCAGCACCCCUUACAAAGUCAUCUCACACUGAACGAGCGUAGGUAGUAUAAUCCAGUUUGUUAGAGAGUUCCGAGCGCACCUUACCUUUCGAAAUCCAUAGAUUAUUACCCUUGUACCCUUGCUUUAAGAGAAUCAUAGAGGAACCCAAUCGCUAUUGCUUGUUCUGUUAUUUGUUUCAAACUAGUAGAACUAUACUUAAGUACACUGCCGAAGUACACCGCGCUUAUUCCUUUAAUUGGAAUCCAUCGAAUAGGAGUCAAUCGUGGUUCGGCUUUAAGGUAAAGGCAAGGGAAGUCCACAGCAGAGCCAGAGGAUAAAGGAUUCCAAAGACAGGGUCAAGAUGUUAGGCGAAAAUGUCAUAGAACAGUCAAUAGAGAUCCUCAAUGAGAAAUGACCUAUGUUGCCCCCUGAAAACGGAACUUAUGGAUAGCAUUCCAGAGUCUAAAAUCCUAGUUGGAACCCCCAGUAUAGAAAGAUUCUUAUGCUUUUGUUUAAGGCUCUAACUCCUUGUGUAUCAUCUCUUUGUGUGCCAAUGUUGUAAGGAAAGGAAGCUGAAUCGAUUAAUAGUGAAAUUGAGGAAUGAAAUAUAGCGUGCAUUGGUGAGUAUAGAAAGAAGGAACCCUAACCUCACUGAACAAGCAAUCAGAUCCUUCCGGAGCUUUAUUUGGAAAUAAGCUGCUAACUACGCUUUUCCUUUUGGGCGUGCCGGGCAAGAAUUUGGAUAGUUACUACAGUCAGGUUACCCUAUUACAUAAGAGGUGCAUUAAUACUCUUUCUUUACAGUUGUACUAACGUGAGUUCGCCCGCGAAAGCCUUAGUUCUCUUAAAGCUGCAAGUCAGCAGUAAACAUAACAACCUUAGAAUACUGUUGCGCUUACGGGAGCUCGAUAAUCAAUUCCGUAUGGACGGGGACGGACUGAAGAUCCACUGUCUUGACUGCGAUAACGGAGUUCUCUUUGGAAUGUUUGACUGUAGCAUUAGGAGUUAGAGCAAGCGUUAGUGAGUUGUGCGCUAGUUCAUAAAUCAAUUCAGUAAAGUAACAGAACAAGAAGUUGUUAUAAGUAAAUAAGUAAUGCUCUGUUUUAUUAAUCAAUUAUAGAAUGUGAUACUUAUAUCAAUGAAAGGUAGCUUAAAACUCGCCCUACUGCCUUGUUACUGCAGGAGAAGUCUCGUAUCCAAGUGGAACCGUUGAAAGAAAUGGUGCCUCCGCCUUCGUAUAGGCAGCCUAUACUCUAAUCUUUGCGCUAUUCCUAGGCGCUACUCUCUUCCAUUCUGUAGUUGGGGGUGCGACACUGAACUCCAAUCUCCAGUUUUCAUUUCACUUCUAUGUAGUUGGGGGUGCGACACUGAACUCCAAUCUCCAGUUUUCAUUUCACUUCACGUCACGGCAAUACCUCUGCUUGACCGCAAGACCUCUGCUUCUAUAUAUAUAGGAUUCGAGUCAAGCACCCGAAGACCAACAAUCGAACUACAGAGGGCGGUGGACUAACUCUCGAACUAAAGAACAUAAGGGACAACUAAUAGAUUCAAGUAAGGAAAGUCAGCCCGAGAUCAUAGUCGAAGGAUGAGUAGCAUUGGCGCAAUUCCUGUUAUCUGUGAUUUCCGCCCUGUUUGCGAGAGUAGAAGAAUCCGAUGUGAAAUACUGUUUGAAAGGGCAUCUUUGAAAUCCAGUAGCUAAAGAAUUAGAGUAAGGAGAGAAAGAUGUAGAUCCAGGAAUGACAGGCGACUACUAAAUAGGUUCAAUACGUAUUUUGUGUGUCAGCGUUAAAGCAUGAAAGCAAAGCGAGUUAGGUUGAGAAGCAGUAGGGGCAGCCCCAUGGAUAGGACAGUAAGAAUAAGAUAGAGGCGAGGCAGGCUUGUUAGCAAUAGCUCGAGUCUUAUCGUUAGUGAUUUCAUCCUUUUUUGAUCAGUGGAAUUAUUAUACCUAUUGGUCUUAAAGCGAUCGUACGCAUAGGUUCCAUUCUGGCUAUUCAUAGUUCCAAUUAUUAGAAGCCAUAGUUGGAGAACGAGAGACAGGAAAGGUAGACUUAACUAAAGGAAAGACUGCUUAGGUGCCCAGGAGCUCAAGUAUUGUUAGCGGAGGAAUAAGAUUGAAACCAAAGAGAGGUGUUUUGAAAGCUAAGAUCCGGAUCCGGAGUUGUAGAAUCAAAGCAAGGUGCUGAAAGCCUUAUUGAGGCAUGAGGGAAUACUAAAACAAGGGAGUUGGAAUGCAGCUAACGUUCUAUUACUGAGUUCAAUUCAGUAUUGUUAUACAUGUACGAUUUUCUUACCUUGUUGGGCGCUACCUUAUUAGUAGUACAGUUAGUAAUCUAAGACUUUCAGCAAGGAGUCUGUCUAAGUUUGAAUAAGGCCUGCCAGGAACAAACCCAAGAGUGAGAGAAGAGAGUUUCCAUUUUCAAGGAAGACUUAAGGCCAAGAGCGGAAUAAGUAGUAGACUUAGCUAAAGGAAAGGAAGACUGACUAUCAAACAUAGGAGUGGGUUGGUUCCACAGGGGUAAAGUUUGAGAGUUAGGGACGGUAGGCUGAGAAGCCGAGUAGUCAGAAUGAGAUUUAGGAGCGGGGGAAUCUGAUCGAGUAAGGACAGGUUAAUAGGUAGGAAAGCUAGGUUCCAGGUAGUGGGGAAGGUCUCAUUUCUUUGUUUUAGCUUAUAGGGAAGUAGUCCACUCCGAUAUAUACUCCCGUAGUUAAAGGCGGAUACCCACCUGUUACAUUCGCGUAGUGGGGAGCAUACCCUUUAGUCAAAUUCGGAUUAGCUGUUGUUGCACUCCUCGGUUCCAGUCUUGUACUUACUAGUUUCAUAGAAAAAAGUCCGGGUAAUAAGAAUGGUAGUCAGUAAGAGUAGACUAGGAUAAAGGAGAGUCAGAGGGUGGUUAAGCCCAAACCUGCAGAGUUAAGGCCUGUAAUGGAAGAAUCGAAGGGUAAAGUUCUAAUUAGAUGUAAGGAGCUGUAGGCCUAUGCUUGGGAUUUGGUUCUUCUACUAAUCAAAUCCAUUAUUCAAAUUCAUGUCCUUCAUUCUAUUACUGUUGAGCUUGAUUCUAUCCUAGCUUAGUGGGGUUCCCUAACGAUUAGAAGAUGAAAACUAGCAAGCUGGGCUUUAAGACAAGAGCGGUUGUUUGUUAGUAGGGAGUGGAGUGCCGGUUUCAGAGUUCAAGCAAGGGGCUGCAUAUUCUUAUAUAUAUAUAGGGGAUCAUAUGACUAAACCCAUAGAAUUGGGCUUAAAGGACGGAGUCAGGGAAUUAGACUUAUAUCGGUAUGAGUCAAUAGGCGGUAAUCGAGAAUAGAAGGUCGGGUAGGCAAGCUUGGUCAUCUAUGCAAGUAGUUCGUUUUGGAGUUAAGAGCGGCAGUGCUAUACCCAGGGCAGUGAAUAUUCUUAUUGUUAGGUUAAUUAUAGGUGCAGUUAAUAUUCUUAUUGUUAGGUUAAUUAUAGGUACUAUUGCUUUCUUUAUCCCCAGUUCGAUUAUUGGUAGCACUAGUGGAAUUGCCGGUUUUGAGUGGAAUUGCUAGUUAGUAGUUAAAGUCUAAUCAGUAGUAGGAAAGGAAACCAACCAAGAAAACAUGGGAAUGGAGUUUACCGAGCACAAGGUAUAGAGUGAAGUAAAUACACAAGUUCCUUUUCUGUGGAAUCUGACUUCUGACUUGCACCGCGUUUGUUGUAGUGACUUGGCGGUAGAGGAGCAAUCAAGAGUUAAGAAAAGGUAGAUGAGCCUCCACCACUAAAGCACCGAACCUUUCUCUUAGAUACCAACCCAGUACGUGCUCUCAAGCAGGAAAGUAGGAAUUGGACUAUCAAACCAUAAUGAAACUAAGUCAGCAAUCGGGUCUGUUCCUGUUGCCUUUGUCUAUAAGUCUACGAAUUGCCAGGCCAGUGCUUUACCUCGCAUCAAAGAAAUCAACCAAAAAGGAGGAAUUCAGAACUAUCUACUUCUCAGGUCUUCUACUAAUAAUCAUAAGGGAAAGAAAGAAUACAACUGGUAAGUCAAAGUCUAUGAAUGGGGUUACAGUCUAGCAGAACUACAUUUCCAUUUCUUAUCGAGGUUGCUUGUCGGCUUGGCCCAGUAUAGAGAGCUUUGGUGCUAGUGUAUAGAUAGGUUUGGUGCGAGGCUUUGAAACGGUAAGUGAAUCCCCAGUUCCUGUUCUGGUUCUUGUGGAAUACCUAUAGUAGUAGUAGUCCUGUUCGAGUAAAGUUUUAGUCUGAAUCAAUCAGUGAACUUCCAAAGACCAAACGAUUUCAUCCCAAACUAUCUCUUUAUGGCUGAACCUUCCGAGUGUCGAUAUUUUGAGACUCAUUGUUUCAUAGCCUCUUGGUCAAGCGAAGCCAUACUAGCCACUUUUGGUAGACUGGAAGGCCUGUGCCUUGAAGUCGUCUAGUGUGAGGUACGUUCUUUAUUUAUAAAGGAGAAAGAGAGGUCGCUCGGAAGCAUUCAGUUAGUACGAAUAUGUAUAUUGCAAUUCCGUUAGUACGAAUAUGUCUAUUGCAAGAUGAAGUAACGGAUGCUGGUUUACUGUAAGUUGGUCUCGCGAUGAGUUCAGAGAGUUCUAAGCUGUCUGUUCACUACGCUUUCUUUCAAGCAAUGCUCGGUUGCCUUAUCUCACAAAGGUCUGAUGCCGAAAAUAGGGUGAACGAACCAAUGGCGGUUUCACUGACCCGAUCUGGGCUACCCCGCAUUAUUCCAGUUCGUAGAGACAUUGUCGAUCCUGCCGGGAUGAGAGUGCAGACUAAAGAGUCCGUCUUUACUUGUAAUGGUUUGGACUCCGUCGGGUGAUUGCACUGGGUGUCAAAAGCAACGUUUGAAUCCAUAACUAACCCGGUGUCUUAUAUUGAAAAGGUCCUGGAGGUGAUCUCAUUGAAGUUUUAUCUGCCGUAAGUCUCUUCCUUGGAUCUCGACCAACAAAAGGGUAUGGUAUGGGAACCCACAUUGAAAGCCACUGCUCAUGACGACCGAAUGUGGGUUUAGCACGAAAUUGGAAGAUUUACCUAAGAUCUUGACUAGUAACAAGUAUGAGCAGCCUUCGCAGAAUUUGAUUCAUUUUCUCCAAGAGGAUAUCCUGUCUUCUCUCCGGGGGUUUGUAAAGAACACUUUGGAUCACCGGUAUACCACACAGGCUUUUAAUGAAGACCUAGGAGACUUACUAUACUCUGCCUCUGUUCUCGUGAGCUAGAUAAGGCUAGGUUUGAAUAGAUCAGUUCGGUCUCCGCUCUGAGACCGCCGAGUAGUAGUAGGUAAGUCGCAGCUAUCUCCGACCGAGCUAAAAGAAAGUAGUGGUUUUUCGGGAUCCGCCUUCUCUUCUUCCCCAGGUUCUAAGAGAAAAGAUAUAUUCCAAAAGGGUAGUCUACGAAUUGUUGGUCCUGACCAAUGGCGGCCGUGCUUUCCAACUAAAUCCCCUGGGAAUCUGUCCCCGAGCGUGCUGGCUUUCCUUUACAUAUUAAAUACAUUUCUCAAUUUAUGUUGAGUGAAAAUGCAUUAUGUGAAGAGGGAAGCGACUCAUUUAGCUUACCGUCAGGUUCACUUGGGUUGGUUUAGGCUGCUGUCUUGUAGUCAGUUGAUGGGAGGUCUUCCAUUCCAGUCCAGAAGAUAUUGGAAUUGCACUCUUUUCUUUCCCCCACUUAUAAUCUCUCUGUGGGACUUGUUCCCUCUUCCACUCAGCGCUUUAUAGAUAGGCAUUUGAUUGAGAAUAGAUAGGCAUUUGAUGGAGAAUGCUACCUUAUCUUUGAAAAAGUAGCCGAGCCGAAGGCAAAUAGAAUUGGAGUACCACGGAGAAAAGCUAGCUGGAUAAACAAGACAGGGAUCGCCCGCUCGGCAAUGCUACCUUGGGGAGGAGACAAAACACUUGAAUAUAUAAACGAAUAUUCUACAGCUUUUGAGAUAUAUGAACAAUCUGACUAUGGAAGAGUUUGUGUCUGACUCAUAGCUCUAAGAUUACUAGCAUGAAUAAGCCUGCUUCAACACCACCUAGACUCUUCCAAAUAGAGAGACACCGACCUUAAAAGAACCUGGCAUUGGAUUAACUCACUCCUAAGCUCCCUAGACACUGCAAAGAAGACAUAAUUCGAACUUCCUGGUAAGGGCUGGGCGGAACGAGAAAGGAGUUUGCUAAUAGAAAGAGUUUGGGAAUGCCCCGCGUAGUUAACAAACAUCGAGUUGGGAGUCGGGGCAGCAUGUAUACGAGACUAUUGAAGUUCCGUUUGGAAUCAUUGUGUUCUUCAUAUUCCAAAAUGGGAGAAUAGCCAAGGCCUUUUUCAGCGAUUCGACGCGCCCCCCCUAAGCUAGACGAUUCACCUACCUGACCUCAGAGAGAAUGGAAUGAGUCGCCCUAGCCCUAAUCUGACUAAGAGGUUCAAUUGCUCUAUAGAAAGCCAUCCACUACUGAAUAGCCCUUAUAUAGAUUUAUCAGCCAGGUCAACUGACGCCAUCACUACACUACACUACGGUUUAUUUCGCUGUGAGAAACAAAGAAAAUGUCUGUGCAUUGCUGCUGCCAUCCAAGUUCAUUUAAGCCUUCCUUCCAUCCCUAGUUUCCCUGCUUGAGACUGUUUUUGAUUAGCCCGCCCUGGUUUGAGCCAUGGUCUACCCAGCUGUGCUUCAUAUCCUCCUUGCUCUUUGUCUAAGAUUGGACUACAGGUACCAAACGAUUGGACUGAGGGCAAUCAAAUCAGUGCAUCCUUUGUGGUUGUUUGAGAUUUGGGCUCGUAGGUUGUACGCCAGCCAUACGUAGCUUGAACUGUAAUGGCCACAAUGCGACGCUAUUGCCGAUCCCCAAGACAAGACGCCUUUGAUUGAAUGUGAACACCUGAUCCACCGUAUGCACUUCCUACAUUCACUCCCGGAGAGGAAACUAUUCACCUUAUAAAGAGCCACUAUACGAUCGGACCAGACAGGUGCAGGUAGCCGCCCGUAAUUGUCCAAUAUUGACAGCAGCUAUAGUCGCCGUGUCUUUCGUUUCGCGUAGCUCGGAUUCGUGUGGUGAGAUGAGAUCAACACCUAAUGGGCCACUUUUUCUUAGGCAUAUAAGAGAGAUCAAUAAGUUCAUUAGAGAUCAAUAAGUUCAUUAGAUUUGGGAAUCUUAUUCAGUACCGCGCUUUAGGCAGCUACACUCAGGGCACCGGGCAGCAGCGCUAGUAUAGGGAGUUACUCCACGGGCCACAAUCUGAAUCCUCCACAGGAUUUUGUUGCACUUACUUUUCGAAAGAAAGAUCACAGCCUACUGGGGCAUAAACUUGGAGCUGGAAUUAGCGACGGCUUUUGCUUUAGAAUUCGCUAGAGAACGAUGGCCAUGGAUGAAAGAAACAAACAAAACGGAAAGGCUAUUCGGUUGGAGUUGGUGUUCAGCAUGGAGGUACCGCUUCACUAGGGCUCUGCGCCCGUUCCUACUGUUCUUGACCCAAUGCCAGGUGAUUAGCUAACCUUGCCCCUUCCUUAGAAGGUAAGGGAGGUAUGGUUGGGAGGGACAGAGAGAUCAGAAACCAAAGGAAAGGGAAUAGACUAUCAAACUGUAGAUUGGAUAAAGCAUAAGCUCUGGAAGCGGAUACGCCGAUAGAGGAAGGCUAGCACACAUCAUUUAUCUAAGAAGAAGUUAUUUGUCAUGGGAAAAACGCUUUUUUCGUUGAUCUCUUACUGGCACUCGAAGCACUUGCCUUUUAGCCGUCCACUCAAAGAGGAAAAAGAUGACCGACCAACUGCUGCUUAGCUUAUCACUCUUGAGACUGGCGUGGCGCUGCUGGAUGCUUCUGAUCAAUAGGAAGAGGAGGACUGAUGAGCUGCUAUUUGAGUCGAUCAUUUCCAAGAGAUAUCACAUUCCAGUUUGAGCUUUUAUGUAGUUGAAAUGCCUUACAAUCCUAAGUGUUACGCUUAAGGUAAGAAAUGUUAUUGGUGGAUGCAGGGCUUGGGACCCCCGGAAUGGAAUUAGUAUGCAAGAUUAGCUUACUGGAGUGCCAAUCAAACACCAGUUUUUUUAGAAUAAGGUGGCUGGCCGGUGAAUCACUGAUCAAAGAGCUAGGCGAAGAAGCAUAUCGCUUUGAACGGACACCCGACUCUCUCUUAAACCUUUGAGCAUAUCUUUUACUUGGAGAUUCCCGGUCUUCUGUCUUAGCCCUGACCAUGUUCUGAGAGACUCUUUCUACUUUGUCGCACCCAGCAUCUUAGCUAUGUUCCGAAUGUCUGGUCAUUUAGAAUCCAACUCAUAGAUUCGUUUGCUUCCAACAAGAUCUGAUUGAUCACAACUAACGGGUAGUACGAGACUCUUCUAGCAGAGCGCUUCCUGAUUCAGUUGCUUGAUUCACUGGGCGCACAAGAACGCUUUGCCCCUAUUGAUUGUCCAAACCUCCCCUCACUGCUGCCUAUUCUGUAACAAGAGAGAGCAUUCGAUGCAUUUUCCUUAUUCUAUAGAAUCUAUUAUUUCAUGAGUUUCUUCUAUAUAAUCUAUUAUGUAAUGAGUUUGAGAAUCUAUUAUGUAAUGAGUUUGCUUCAAGAGUCUAUUGAAGGUUAAGGUUAGCCCUCUGACUCGGCUAGUGACACAUCAGACCUCUUUCUUUUUUGAGAAAUUCCUUGAUUUAAGCGGAAAAACCAGAGUGACAGGCCAAGCACUAACAACAAGAAUCCAACUAGUCAGCAUCAGAACCAAGCCUUGCCGUGGGCCGAGUGGGUACAGAAUUGACCUCGGCAGUCUUUAGCUCGCUACCGCGCAACACGAACAUUGGCUCCUGUUAUGAGCAAGUCCUGUUUUUGGGGCCGCUAGAGUUCCCGUUAUUACAAGUCCUGUCUUUGCCAUUCGAAUUUGCUCUUAGAAAGGAAAGGUCACUAUCAUCUCAUAUAAGAGGACGUAAGGGAAUGAUUUCACAUUAGUAAGGCAUCUUUUCUUCUUUGACAUUGUUUUCUCAGCACGGAAUCCAAUUAAGUAGUGUCAUCCGCUUUGACGACAGCUGUUAUCGCUGAAGCAUUUCCAUUGGUUAUCAGGUGGUAGGCACAGCAACAUUAGUUAUGGAAUGACCUUACCCAUCAAACAUUCUACGAAGUCAAAGGUCAACCUAUAAAUCUACGGUCUCAGACCGGCCGCCCCUAACCUUGGCUGGUUUUGAUGCACAAAAGACAAAACGGGAUUUUAUUUCCACUCAUAAGGAAGGUGAGAUACCUUUUACUGUGUGAAAACUCCCGCGGGCCCUCACCUUUCUGACUGGACGGACUCGGGGAAGGGCAAAUAUCCGACGGAGCGCACAGCCACUCAUUCGUCCUGAUCGAGUACUCGUAGCCGCUAAUCACCACGCGCAAGCCCCAUCUAGAAUUCUCGUUUGCUUUAUCGAACUUUGCUUGAUGUUGGUUGGCCCCCUCUUUGAAACCAUCGACCAGCAAAGCGAUACGGCACUUACAUAAGAGCACGAAUAAGAACGCAGGCAGCGGCAAAAGAGAAGACCGACCCAGAGCGAAACUUGAAUGAAGGUUGCUUGCUGACUCCUAGUAUAGUAUGAAGGAAAUCUCUUGACUUCGCUUAUGCCCUUAUUGCCCUGAUGCAGUAAAGAAAGCAAGUGAGGCGGGCGUCGAUUCCAUUCUGAGUAACGUUACAGGAUUCGAUCCAUCUUCCACUCUUCUCUGGAUUCCGAGUUUCUAGAGAAAAGGUCCCAUCAAUAAAUAUCAUGAUUGGGUCGACUCGACCAUGAAUAGAAAAUAGAAAACGGAAUUAGUUGAUUGGACAGCAACUCGAUUUAGCUUCACGGUCUGAUUUCUGUCCUGUCUUAUUCCGAGUAGCCGCCCUUAAUACAGCUCGCCCUCAACCCCCGACCGCUUCGUUGCUUUUAGGUUCGACUCCUUCAAAGACAAAAGACAACCUGGAUAAGUCUCAUUCGAUGUCGCAACCGAUGCUUAAAACAGAUGAAUCGAUCUUCUCAGUCAAGUCUUCGAGCGAUCAUUCUCUGCUUCAAAUAGGAGGGGACUUCCUCCACCUAAAGGUUAUGAUCCUUACUUAACAAAAAGACCUCCCAUAGGACUGGACUCCUCUCGAGCGUUGUUUCUAUCUACAUUAAUAGGAAUAAAGAAUUGAUUAAUGCCACAGAAGCCUUACUCUUUUGGUGUUCACUUGUAAGCUUUCGUUCCACUCCUUUCCAACUCAGGUUCAACACCCCUUUGAUCCAGGGCUGCAGAUAGGUCUAGAGAACCGAACUGUCUCACGAUUUCCUUACGGUUAGCUACACUUUGCACAAUUCACGUAUCACUUGAGUAGUAAGGCACUAGUUUCUUCAAGGAGGAUCCGUUGAAGAGUGUCUGUUGUCUUGGUAGGGAAGAGUUCUAUCUUUUCCACAAUAUGAUAGAGUCCUUUAGAAACGAAUACGAAUGAGAUCAAAAAAGCUCUGCCGAGGCUCGAAUAGAAGAUGAAACGACCCCACUGGAAUUGACUAGUAAGUUAUAGCUUGAAGUUGAAUUGACUAGUGAAGUUAUAGCUGUAAGGUUCGCAGAAUGACCGAUGGAACCAACCGAAUCCACUCUCGUGACAUGAUCGAAGCCACCACUUUGCCGUCUUUUUAGUCAUUUUCGCAUUUCCUCUAAUAGAAGUUAUGGCGGAAUGCUGCAAAUCCACGGCCGUGCCCCUCCACACGUUCUCAAACCGAUCGCCGGAGGAUUGAUUUCUCUUUCACUGCCUACUUUCGACACUGCCUACUAUCGAUACUGCCUACUAUCAUCAAUUCAUUCUUUCUAGCAUCUCCUGUCUGCUACUGUUACUCAUAUUCAUAGAAUUCCUUCUAGCAUCUCCUAUCUGCUACUGUUACUCAUAUUUAUAGAAUGGAAUAUAGCACAAUAUAGAAGAACAGAAAAGGAAUGGAAUAUAGCACAAUAUAGAAGAACGGAAAAGCCCUUCUGACUCAGCUAGCUAACGUUGCUUGUUUGUUCUCGCUACGAGUAAUAGGAGUGGGGUUUGGUUACUUCAUUCCAUAAUAGGUGGCACAACAUCUCUAUUCCAUUUCUCCACUUAAGUAGACCGCGCUUAAGGCAAGAAGUACGAGUAUCAGGAUACCUAGUCUUGCACCCUUGCUUGUUUUUCAUUUCAUAAGUCACACGUAUUCCAUAAGCUUCUUAGGUUCAAUGCCUAUUCCUCUAUUUCAAUGCCUAUGCCUCUAUGUGUAGUAAAUCUCCCUCGCUUCAACCUAUGCCUUUUCUUUCUUUAAGUCUAGGAUUCGGCUGCGGAUAUGAGUUCAACAUGUAAGCAAUCAGGAGUCAGUUACCUUAUUUCUAUUAGUUUCGGAAUUAAGUGAAGCGUGAGCCUUCUUUUGAAGCAAUGCAUUGGUAGAGUGAAGUUACAUUUAUCUAUAUUGUGCUAGAGUUUUCUUAAUUCUCUAUUCUUAAAGCAAGGGAAAGAAGAAAGUACCCUUGUAUAGAGUUCGGGUCAAUAACUGAGUUUUGAAGCGAUGUUGUAUGUUGUUUACUUGAUUCUCUCUGCUGCUGAGCGCUUCAUUCUUUUCUUUCUAAAAAGUGAUAACGUCUCGGUCUUUUGUUACUGUAGUAUAGAACAGGUGUACUCAAAGGGGCGAACUCCCACCUGCAAGCUAGAGCAGUACAAUCAGUUCCAUUUCCUGUUUCCUAAGUGAGAAUUAGUGAAACUACUAGGGGCAAGGACAGCCAUCAUCAAAGUUCAGUUCCAAUCGUAUAGAUAAGAAGCGGUGAAAAAGGAAGCUGCAAGCACAGUAUAGAAUUCAUUGGGUAACAAGCACCUAUGACUCCGGGGGAUUAACCUCAAACAGAACAAGCAAAAGAAAAGCGCUAACAAGCAAGGACUUAUUGAAUGGAACUAUACGACUUGCUUGCUCUCUUGACUCUAAAGAAGAAAAUGUUCGCCUUGUGCCCACUGCUGGAAUCAAAGAAUUGAAUGCACUUCACCCAUUGUAUAGAAGAAAGGUAAAAACACACACUGUAUUGCUUCCAACAAGCUGCAACGGCAAACCGAAACUCUAGCUAUACCACCUCACAAAUGGGUAUCUGACCAAAUCCAUCUCCAAAAUAGGUACCGGACCCAAUCUAUCUCCGUGGAACCUGUGCUAAGUACGCAGGCUGAGCUAUGCCCGUGACAAAGAAAUAGUAGGUCUAUCUAAUCAAUCAUAUUCUUGAGAGAUAAGAAUUCUCCCGUUAGCCGAAAACAGAACUCCUACUUAAGCUGAAGUAAGGAACUCCCCGUAAGCUGAGGACAGGAACUCCCCGUUAGCACAAUGUCUUACAAAAGAGCUCGUUAACGCUGUAGUCUAGAAUUCAUUUCACUAACAACAACGUCUUGCCCGAACUUUAUAACGCGAUCGGAUUAAUCACUUGUACUCAAUUCUUUUCUUUUCAAUAGGGAUAGGGAUGCCUCAAUUCUGAAAGCUAUAGGGAGUUUGCAUAAACUUCUCUAACUCGGUGCCCAGCUUAGUAACACCCAUUUGUGAAACUCUGCUAACGCUUAUUCGAGUGCUUAGAAGGAGGACGAGGGAAGGAGGACGAGGGCGAAGGUUUAGUCUAAAGUAAGUAGCGCAAGUCCGCCGCUGAGUCAGCAUCUAAAGAGUCCGCAUCAGCAGUGGAAGCAGUGCUAGUGCUGUCUCCAAGAAUUCAGAGCAGGGAACAGGCUACGCGGAAAAGGCUACUACUAGUUAGGCAAAGGCAAAGAGACCAGCAACUACACCUUAUGUGGAACCUAAGAAAUAAUACUUCUGGGCUGGAAAAGACCUAAGACCUGCGUUAGCACUAGGGCGAAAGAGAGUGACUCUACCACUUAGCGAAAUCAAAGAAUUACCACUCCACACUUCUUUGUUCCGUUGCUUUUAGAAUAGAGGAGAGUGUACAACUAAGGGAAUUAUGUAAUCUUACUGCUGACUUACUUAUUUGCUUUAAGAAGACCUCUGCUUUGUCACAAGCAUCUGAACCUCUGCUUUGUCAAGCAUCCUCACUACAGGCAGGGCUAAGCAGUUAUUCUUUCUUUGAUGCUUUCUUUAGUUUGCUAGCUUUACUUAUUCUGUUGCUUGUUGACAUUAAUCACUCAUAUCGUCGCUGGUUGCUCUUCAAAGAGAUGCUGACCCUCUGUUUGAUAGCUCAGCUGUAAGCGUCCUAUACUAUCCCGUAGCUCAGUAAGCAUCCUAUCCUACCUAUUUAUUAGUAGCAAAGAGAAUCCUACCCAUAUAUUCCAAGAGAAUCCUACCUAUAUAUUCGUAUUAUUAUAAUUAGGAGCGGGUCUAAGCGCAAAGAGAUCCUAUUAUUAGUAUGGAAACGGUAUUAUGGGUCGGGUCUAUGUUCUUAAUCAAAUAUGCAGGUCUAUGUUCUUAAUCAAAUAUCAAUUCUAAGAGCCUAACAAGCCACCUAGUUCCAUUUAAAAGACAAGCAUUGAGGUUAGCUUACAAAGUCCUAUACCAUGUGCUCGCAAGUAUGGUUUUCAUCAUCUGUCUUAGUUGGUGCCGGGCAAGAAUCGAGUCAACAGGCAAGGAAGCCAGGUGUACUGAUUACAACAAUCUUUCUUUGAGUGCCAAGGAAAGGAGACUCUAGAAUAUGAAUCAGCGGUAUAAAAUACGGGAUCAUCCGCAGCAAUUGAAAGUAGAGUACAAAGGUGCCAGUCUUUCUGAAAGUCGAAAUAGGGCGCUUAUGUCUAAGUAAUCAAGGAUGGUUCUUGGCGCAAGUGCAAGUCCAGGAAUUUCCAUUUAUUAAUUCGGUUCCACAAGUCCUGUUCUCUAAUGUUCUGGUUCUCUAAUCUUCUGCGCUAAAAGAUUUUCGUGACUCGGGCCAACAAGAACUAGUGCAUCAGUGGCGUCGGUAAGGUGUUUUAGGAGUUUCAAUUGACAUUAAAUAAAGUCUUCCUUAACUGACUGCAAACUCGGCCCAAGAUUUCAUUACUGUUUUUAUUGGCGCAAGAAGGUAGUCUUGUCUUGGUAUAGAAAGUCGGUAAUAAGAGUAAUAGAUAUAUUACCAAGUUAAGCUUUCGGUCCUGUUGACAGUGUUGCGGCGGUACAGAUGAAGGCGCUAGUAAGUUCAGUUCACCCUUUGCCUCAAUUCGUUAUGAAAGAAAAGAGUAAUAUCCGGAGUUUAGUUACUGGAUUUAUAGGUUUAGUACUCAAUUAUCUUCUUGUUGAGUUAGCAGUUCGGUUAGAAAGAAGCAGUCCUUUAGGUUACUCAAUCAUAUGUCCUUUAGGUUACUCAAUCAUAUUAGGUCAUGCUCUUAUCUUAUCUGUAUAGUAGCUUGUUCCGGGCGCAUUAGCUUAUUCGACUUAUAAGGGGCUAGUUAGCUUACUUCUUGGGUGCUAACGGAGCUUCAAAAGUCAUAAGUUAGUUUGUGCCUGCAGUAAUCAGUGUUUUGAGGAUCUCCUAAUAUGUAAGCUGUUCGGUUACUUGAUUGUAAGCAGUGAAGGUUCCACAUAGUAUAGGGUUAACUCCAUUCUAUUCUUUAGCUCGACUCGCGGUUGGAACUUAUUGGAGUGGAAAGCAAGGACGCAAGCAAAGGCAAUAAUUCUGUACUUUGGGGAUUGAGUAUCGGGAUAGGGUUCGUCAGCGAGGGGAAGAGUCUGUUGUGUUAGAUUACUUUCCCAUAGUGACAUAGUGAGCUGCGUUAGAUUACCGAGUUCUAUAAUAGGAGAGCACCAAAUUCCAUUACUAAGUGUUGUGAGGUUACCGAACAAGCAACGAACCAAACUACUACAUAGAAAGUAGCGCUUACGCGAGUUACAAUGACUAACGCUAUACAUUAUACAAAGCUUGUUCCUCGAGAGUACGCAGUGUUAGAGCAACGAGUAAUUGAGUCUUAAGUUGGUCAAGAGUGGAGUAUUUUCAUUAUAUAAUAUGUGUGGGUCAGUACAAAUCUUUUUGAGCAGAGGAGUUAACCGUUACGCAUUAGUGUUCAGCUGAAAUGUGAGAUUAUUAAAGCCGUUCAGAUCCAAUUCUAAAAGCUUAGGCGCGUUCAGAUCCCAUCCCAUUCUUAAAGCUUAGGCGCGUCAAUAAUGUAUGACUUUAGCCUAGCCUUCAAUGUGCCUAGCAGAGUUCCUCAAGUCAACAGUGCAUUUUAGAGAGUGAGCUGACUAUGCUUAUAGAAGAUGUUUGACUUAUAUGAAACGCUAUAGGGUUGGUAGCUUGUUUGUGCGUUAAGGGUUAGCAAAGCAAGAAUGGAGUACUUGAGUAUUUGGUAAAGCCCACUCAGCUCGAUGUCAAGUGCAUUUGGUAAAGCCCGCUCCGCUCGAUGUCAAGUUCCUGUUUUGUAUAGAGAAGGCGCCGAUAUUCAAUGGCCUUAUAGUCAUUCGCGUUAGUAAGCUCUGCACUUUCGCCCUUGCUUGUUCCCUAUAGCGCUAGUUAGUAUGCCGGAGGAAGUGGAAACACUAGAAUGGUCAUUAUGUCCUGUUAGUAUAGGAUCUAUCCGCCUCAAUUCUUAAAGCCAGGUGCGCCUCUAUGUUUUUUACAAAAUGAAGGAAUAUGCGCUAUCCGGAUAGAUUCAAUUCAACGUUGCUCAAUCAGUAAUAAACCAACUAUUCUAUUUCUUUGUAGUCUAUCCUUGGGUGCGCCGAGAUUAUAUUCUUUGACUUUCCGGGCGAAACUGUGAUAGUGAUGGUAGCGAAUUACUAGAAGGCCGGGCGAAACUGUGAUAGUGACAUUUAGCUGACUUUUGUUUGAGAGUGCUAAGGAAAAACGAGUGGUAGAGAAUAAGCUUUAGGCAAGAAAUUACGUACUAGCGCUUGGCAACUCCCGUAAGCGCUACUUUCUUAGUUGUUUGUUCCCUUAACUAGAACAUUAGGACAAAGAGGCAGAGUGGAGAGAAGAGAGAUUGACUUUGCUCACCAUAGGAAGAAUGGGAUGGGCAGUGAACGGAAUGUGUCUCAUAUUUCCACUUAUAGUAGAAUGAAUGAAUGUGUCUCAUAUUUCCACUUAUAGUAGAAUGAAACAGCAAACCGAGGUACAAAAAAGCUAGCCUAACCUUGCUCUUGCUUUCUUCGCAUCCAAGCACUAUUAGAUAGAAAUGAACCCAUAUGGACUAGAGAAAUAGGGGAGCCCCGGCUGUGUAUCGCACUUAUUCUGUAUAAAGAUGAGUCUCUAUGGUAAAGAUGCCUCUAAUCUGUGUCCACUCUCCAAAUUCUAUCGAUAAAGGGCCUAUGUUAUCUAUCUUAUCUAUUUUAUGCCUAAUCCAGCCUAUGUUGAACCAAGCUAUAGAUUGUUGAAGGCCUAUGUUGAACCAAGCUAUAGAUUGUUGAAGCAAGAAGAGAAUCAUAGAUUGAUGUCACAUAGUUCCAUGUUGUAUAUUAGAUUGCUGCAUUGAUUUCCUCUUCUAUAGGGGUCUGUCUGUCUCAUCGGACACCUAUUGCUUGGCCGCUUGCUUUACCAAUGGCUUUCAAGGACGUUAUUGAGAGCGGAGUCCAAACCAAAACUCAUUCAUUCAUUUAGAAAAUACUAGAAUAGCGCUGAAUUAGUUGGUGGCAACCAGGCUGAAACAGCCGAGACCCGACCCAACACCAUAUAUCCUCUUCAUCACAGGAAGAAGGUAAAUCCAUGUAGUUUCUUGAGUUAUAUCGAUGGUAAUCAACGAGAAUAGAAAAAGAAGGCUUGCACAGCUAGGCAGACGGGUCUCUCGCGCCGCCACUACUAUACAUCGAAGGAACAGAACAAAUCAGAAUUUCGAAGACAAGACAGAAGAAAUCAGAAUUCGCAUGGUGGUUUGGAAAGAGAAGAUUGAAGCCCAGCAACAUACUUGGAGUUUUCAUAUACAUUGCCUAGUCAUAAAUGUCGAUACAUCUGACUAAACUAUUCUUGGUCGUCCGCACGAUCAUCACAUGGUGCCAUCCACUUAUCACCAAUGCAUAUCAUACCCCCGCGCCCUAGGAUUGGUAGGCAUAGUGGCGGACAAUGAUCCGGGCUUAAGCUUAUAAUUAAGAAGCCCUAUAAGCAAGCAAGAAGCCCUAUAAGCAAGCGAAGAAAGAAAGAAAAAGGAGAAAGAAGCGGUAAAAGGUUCCAAUUAGGAAAGGAAGCGAGACUCCACUAGAAAUUAGACCUUCCGUCCAUGUCCCUAGGUCCAAAAGAGAAAAGAAAGGGGCUAGAACACUGAAAAUCAACCCGAGGCGAGAGAAACUAUCCUAUUAAGGAAUUGAUCUGUUGUGUGGUGUAGACCGAAAAUCCAUUGAAGGGUUUCUGCCAUCUGUAACUACGAGCGCACGCACCCCUGAUCAGUGCAUUGGGAUGUGUCUAUUUCUAUCUUUUGACUCGAAAUAGGAGAGAGCUGGUUGGAGAAAAAGGAUAUUAGAGUUGAUAGGGUAUCUCUUGACUCGAAAUAGGAGAGCUGGUGAGUUUGAAAAAGGAUCUUAGAGUUGAUAGGGGUAGCCUUCGAUUCUUUCUUUCCAUCAGAGUUAUUUCACAAAGACUUGGUCAUGGUAAGGGAGAAGGGGGGGGAACAAGCACACAUGAAGAGCGCAGUAUAACGAAGAGUUUGAUGCUGCCGUUCAGGAAGGUACCAAAAUGAAUCUAGUGAAUCUAUCUCAAGGUGUGGGUGCGAUGAUUUACUUUGACUUCACGGGCGAGGUAAGGGAGAAAAAGAAUGGAAUAAGCAUCUGACUCUUUCAUGCAUACAAAACUUGGGGCGAUAUUGCUCCGUUGGUAUAACUCUGCUCUUGAUAUUGGGUCGUUCCGAUUACGGGUUAGAUGUCCAAUUGUCAAGGCGGUAAGAAAUCAUCUAGUAAGAAAGAAGAAAGGCGGUAAGAAAUCAUCCAGUAAGAAAGAAUUCAGAAUAUAAAGAAAUAAGAAAUACAUAGAAUAGUAUAAUAUAAAUAAAGAAUAGUAUAAUAUAAAUAAAGAAUAGUAUAAUAGAAUUCAAUAAGAAAUAAUAGAAUAGUCAAUAAGAAAUAAUAGAAUAGUAUAAUCAAUAUUGUAAGAAAUAAUAGAAUUGUAUAUUGUACCUGAACCCGUGGCUCACUUUUCUAAGUAAUGGGGAAUAGGACCGCGCUGAAUGACUCCACUGAUACAAAAAGAGAGGCUGAACGUAGAGGAGGUGCGUUGGUCUAAUCUAGUAUGGAUCUACCAUGGACGAUAGUUUGAGUAAGCGGCUCUCCUGGGGUUAACUCAUCUGGUAUCCCAGGGGCAGAGAAGAGGAUCAAGUUAGCCCUUGCGAAUAGCGCACACUAUAGCACCUUAACCCUUUGAGCGAAAUGUGGCAAUUAACCCUUUGAGCGAAAUGUGGCAAAAGGAAGGAAAGGAUAGGAUAAUUCAGGGACCUUCGUCUCCACCCACCCCGUAGGAACUACGAGAUCACACCAACCAAGGACGUCUGCGGCUUCCAGGGGUCACAGACAGACCAUAGACCUAGUUCAAUAAGUAUAACGCAUUAGCAGUCUGCGGGCAGUAAGGGUAGCCGAAGGGCAAUCACUAGUUCUUAACGCCCAUUCUUCAGACCAAAGAAAGAGUCGGGCGGGAGGCCAGUUCUACUUUAGCUGUAUUCUACGGAAGCACAAGAAUCUUUAGAAUAGGAUUCCCACUCUGAGCACCACCCCUUUUCUAUUUACUCUGAGCACCACCCCUUUUUCUAUUUGGAGAAAAGAAAGAAGAGUUGUUCUCGAAAGAGCACACAGAUUCAAGUUGUAAGCUGUGUUCGGGGGAAGUUCUUGUUUGUCUAUCGUUGGCCUAUAUAGUAUAAAGAAUACGUCGGGGAGGCCUGAGAGGCGGUAGUUUACCCUGGGGCAGAUGUCAACGGUUCGAGUCCACUUAUCUACAGCCCGUGAACUUCACUGAUACUAUAGAUAAGAUAGCUACCCUCCAAUUCGCCAGCCUAUCUUGGGGUUAGUAAAGGCUAUUCGAUUUCGCAUUCAUAGAAGUUGGUUGAGAAGAUCCUUUUCCAUUUAGAAUAGAAGCACUGCACCGUGCACAGUAUUAACAACCUUAAUGGUGAGGUUCAGAAGA
rnacentral:lncRNA from 1 species